rnacentral:lncRNA from 1 species
GGGAAGAGCGCAGCCUAGGCUGGACGCGGGAAGGAGAGAGUCCGCGUGGGUCCCAAGGACCCGAGGAGAUGGAGUACCCCGACCCAAAUGUCUCCUUACCACAAAGCAGCAACAACAGUGGAAGAAGGUGCAGCCGCUGUGCUGGGGUCUUCAUGGCCAACUAAGAUGCAGCCGGCUUGCAGCAACAGCGACAUUCGGAGGAAUAGUGUCACGCAGCAGGCCUGAACAGCACAAUGCAGGCACGGAGCUGUUCCUUCAGGCCCAGAUUUUCCAUCUCCUGAAAAAGCAAAUGCAAGGUCCAGGAAGUACCAAGCAAGCUCUCUACCGUUGAGUUACAACCCUGAAUCUGAAAUUUCAAGUUUUAA